CACAUACACUCGCAGCGAUAGCUGCUGGUCACGCACAGUGGUUAUGGAAUAUCUAAAAUUGCUUUUUAUAGAUAGUUUUUGUGUUGAUUCCUGUGCCUGGAGAUGCCUUGGUGUAUCAGUUUCGAAGCCGCAUCCUGUGUUAAAGGAUUCUAUAAAUGUGAUGCAAUGCUUUAAUCAUAUAUGUAAAUAUAUAGUCCUACGACUUUAUUUUCGCCUGAUCGAUGCAGCUUAAAUAUUACUUGGCUUCGCUACCAAAAGUACAUAUAAAGGUAUACAUUAAAGCAAUACCCAAAUCUAGAUUACUCCUUUCAUCGAAGUAAAUCGGUGAAAUCCAAAAUAACCCAGGCGAAACCUAUUGUUAUUCUUUAAUUGGGUUAAUUGCAGCCACUGCAGGCCACUUUGCCCCGCGAAAAAGUGUGCCACAUGCAACGCACACUUUUGCACCGAAAGUUGACCCAUAAAUUUAAUUUGAUUUCAUUGUUUGUUUUAAUUUUCAACGUUUUUUUUAUUGGACACUUGAAAGGGGCGAAAAAACUUUGCAUUUGGCUAGCGGCAAGUUGGAGGCUAAAAAGCUGUUGCUCCUGUUGAUUUUCCCCGUGUGGGAUGCACUUUUUAGGGGCAAA
rnacentral:sRNA from 1 species